AGGCCGAAGCCCACAAUGGCUGAAAGCACUGCACUGCCCUCCACACAUGUUCCGGGCCCUUGCAUAAGUGGCGUCGUCACGACUAGACGCUAAUGAUCGCUGAGGCUGAAGUACCCCAGCUCAACGUCUGGGGUUAGGCUUGACUCUGGCCGAAAAACUCUAAGCGAGUUGGAGUGCCGUAGCGUCGAGUAACCUGGCCGGUAACAUAGUGCCCACGACCGGUUCCCUAUCCCCCGUACAACUGAACUUCAGCAUGGUAUCAUCGGCAUCAACUGGGGCCCCCAGAGGGCCCUUGGGGCAGUGGGCCUUCCCCGCGACCUUUUUUCCUUCUCCCAACGCGAGCCACGUGGUUAAUUGGGUUGUAAGGUCCGUGCUCGACUGCUGUCGGUACCGGGUUGACUUGUGGCUGCUUUCCCCGGCUCGUACAAACCACCAAAAGAUACACGGAUUCGGAACAAUUCCAAGAAGCACAAUUUUAAUUAAUUUGGACUACGAGCCUUCGAACAGGCGGGGGGAAAAAUAAACUUAUUAAAAAUGGGUACGGGCCCCUUAUGUCUUGGGCUGCACACGUGCUACAAUGGCCGGUACAAUGAGCUGCGAUGCCGUGAGGUGGAGCGAAUCUCAAAAAGCCGGUCUCAGUUCGGAUUGGGGUCUGCAACUCGACCCCAUGAAGUCGGAGUCGCUAGUAAUCGCAGAUCAGCACUGCUGCGGUGAAUACGUUCCCGGGCCUUGUACACACCGCCCGUCACGUCACGAAAGUCGGUAACACCCGAAGCCGGUGGCCCAACCCCUUGUGGGAUCGUCGAAGGUGGGACUGGCGAUUGG
rnacentral:rRNA from 1 species